GACGUAGGGCGCGAGCGUUGUCCGGAUUUAUUGGGCGUAAAGGGUGCGUAGGUGGCAAAGUAAGUUGGAUGUGAAAUCCUAGGGCUCAACCUCAGAAUUGCAUUCAAUACUGCUUAGCUAGAGAGCUGUAGAGGAGACUGGAAUUUACGGUGUAGCAGUGAAAUGCGUAGAUAUCGUAAGGAACGCCAGUGGCGAAAGCGAGUCUCUGGGCAGCAUCUGACACUGAGGCACGAAGGCCAGGGGAGCAAACGGG
rnacentral:rRNA from 1 species